GCCUGUGUGGCUCAGUCGGUUAAGCGUCUGACUCUUGGUUUUAGCUCAGGUCAUUAUCUUGAGGUUGUGGGAUCGAGCCCCACAUCAGGCU
rnacentral:tRNA from 1 species